AGCUCAAUGUCUGGGUCCCAGGGUCCACCUUCAUGUUCCACCAAUGAGUUUGUUCACAGGGGGUGGAGUAGGGGGAUGUCCUGAUAUGUGUGUAAGGAAUGCAUUGUGUGAAUCUGUGUUUGUAUGUGUAAGGGCUGCAAGGUGUGUUUCUGUGUAUAUACGGGAUGCAGUAUGUGCGUCUGUAAGGGGUGCAUUGAGUGUGUGUAAGGGGUGCAUUGAGUGUGUGUAAGGAAUGCAUUGUUUGUUUCUGUGUGUGUAAGGGAUGCAUUGUGUGUAAGGGUUGCAUUUCUUGUGUGUGUCUGUGUGUGUAAUGCAUUGUGUGUUUUUCUGUGUGCAAGGGGUGCAUUGUCUUUCUGUGUAAGGGGUGC